CACCCGUUCCCAUCCCGAACACGGAAGUUAAGCCCCUCAGGGCCGAUGGUACUGCACGGGUAGCUGUGUGGGAGAGUAGGUCGCCGCCGGGA
rnacentral:rRNA from 1 species